rnacentral:misc_RNA from 1 species
GUGAAUCAUCGAAUUUUUGAACGCAAGUUGCGCUCCCUGGCAUCCCGGGAAGUAUGCCUGUUUGAGGGUCAGUAUUAAUAAAAAAUCGGUUUAGUUACAAAUUGUGACGUUUCCGGAGUUUGGGCUAUCUUAACAUUUUUGGUUAAGGGGCUUAAAAUUGACCUUAUUUGCGCAUUUUUAGACGUACAUAAAUUUUUUUUUUUUUUGUUUUUUCUUUAAGCCAAAAACUUAUUUAAAUCCGU